rnacentral:rRNA from 1 species
CCUACGGGGGGCAGCAGUGAGGAAUAUUGGUCAAUGGCCGGAAGGCUGAACCAGCCAUGCCGCGUGAAGGUCAGUGCCCUAUGGGCGUUAAACUUCUUUUGUGCGGGAGCAAUAAUGGUCACGUGUGGCCAGACGAGAGUACCGUACGAAUAAGCAUCGGCUAACUCCGUGCCAGCAGCCGCGGUAAUACGGGGGAUGCAAGCGUUAUCCGGAUUUAUUGGGUUUAAAGGGUGCGUAGGCUGUGAGGUAAGUCAGCGGUGAAAUGCCCCCGCUCAACGGGGUGAAGUGCCAUUGAUACUGGCGCUCUUGAGUGGAAGAGAAGUAUGCGGAAUGCGUGGUGUAGCGGUGAAAUGCAUAGAUAUCACGCAGAACCCCGAUUGCGAAGGCAGCAUGCCGGCUUCCGACUGACGCUGAAGCACGAAAGCGUGGGGAUCGAACAGGAUUAGAUACCCGAGUAGUC